CCUACGGGAGGCUGCAGUGGGGAAUAUUGGACAAUGGGGGCAACCCUGAUCCAGCCAUGCCGCGUGUGUGAAGAAGGCCCUCGGGUUGUAAAGCACUUUCAGUGAGGAAGAACGCCUGGUGGUUAAUACCCAUCAGGAAAGACAUCACUCACAGAAGAAGCACCGGCUAACUCCGUGCCAGCAGCCGCGGUAAUACGGAGGGUGCGAGCGUUAAUCGGAGUUACUGGGCGUAAAGCGCGCGUAGGUGGCUUGAUAAGCCGGUUGUGAAAGCCCCGGGCUCAACCUGGGAACGGCAUCCGGAACUGUCAAGCUAGAGUGCAGGAGAGGAAGGUAGAAUUCCCGGUGUAGCGGUGAAAUGCGUAGAGAUCGGGAGGAAUACCAGUGGCGAAGGCGGCCUUCUGGACUGACACUGACACUGAGGUGCGAAAGCGUGGGUAGCAAACAGGAUUAGAUACCCCAGUAGUC
rnacentral:rRNA from 1 species